GGGGGGGUAUUGAAUUCCUGAAAGUAUUGGGAAGUGCAGCUACGAUGGCGGUAAAUUAUUUUCAAAGUGUUGGAAAAUAAAAGUCGGUUGUGGAGAAUUUUUUACCCGAAUAAAAAAAAGGUAAAAAGUAAAAGUUGGUUCUUCUGUUGGUCAAAGAAACGAAAAGUUUUUUUUUUUUUUUUUUGAACAAAGAAAGGAAAAGUAAUUAACUUACCAAAUUUUGUUUUUGUUGGAACUAAUUACCAUAUCUCUAAUAUCUCUAAUCUCUAAUCUCUAAUAUUAGAAAGCCAGCAAUCAAUUUUGGUGUCUCAAGGUUUCACCAAAAAAAAUUGGACUAUAAACCCCCUCAAACAAAAAAAAUCUAAAACUAACUGAAAAUAGUACAAACAAAAUAACAGGGAUAAUUUUGUCAUAAAAAAAUAUAUUAACAAAAUAGUAGAGGCAGUUUCUUCCCACUACUUGCGAGAAGAAAACGCGUAAUGGAAGGAAACUGCAGUUUUCUUCCAACCGCUCCAACCGCACUAGCAGAAAUACAAAGGAGUUUUCAUCCCACUAAUUCACUCAGAACCAAUCGCACCAGCAAGUUUCAUGUAAGCUUCGAUCUUUCUCUCACUCUGUCUCAGUUACCCAUUUGUUGUUCAUCUGGAUCUUGCUUUGAUUAAGCUAUUUGUGACUGAAAGUGUCGCCUUCAUUGCCAUCUUCUCCAGAUUCGUGAAAAUGAUUGGGACUACAGUGUCGAAGCAUUGAAAAUUCCAUGGAUUUACAUGGUUGCACUGCUCGAAAAUUUCCUCAUUAGUUGCUUGGACUUUUGAUUAGCAUAUAUUUCAAUUCUCACUCUUCCUGGAGAUUACAUCUACUUCAAGUCCCAUGUACCUCUCCAUAAGAUCCCAAUUGGUAUGAAUCAGUGGCCAUACUAUUUCAGUGUUCGUUGGGGAUGAGAGUGGAAUCAUAAACCGAAUAGCAGGAGUUUUCGCCACGAGACAAGGACAAGGCUCUCUUUACCAUAGUUGUGUCCACCACAUUCUCAAGCACUCUCUCUCACCGUCCCCACUCCACCUCUAAUGCCGUCGUUUUUGUCGCCUUCGGCCGCCCCUUCUCCCACUACGAUCGCAUCCUCCGAAGACUCAGACUCGCUCUCUCCAUAAAGAAUUCUAGUGUGUUGCAAUUUUAGGUCUGUUGAUUUCUUCAUUCGUGCACUGUGCGUAAAUCAGCUUCAAAGGGCAGUCAGGUUUCUUCUUUAUUGUCAUGUGAUUGUACAAUGUGGUAUACCUUUUUUAUUUAACUAUAUUCAAUUGGGUGGUGCCUUAUUCUUGCUACUCUGUAAGUGAAGGAGAAUGUUUUGCAGAGGUGCAAUGAGUCACAAACUUUUUAGGCUGUUUGGUUGGUAAAGAUAGCAUAGUAUGCGAGAAAAAAAACUGGGAAAUAUAGUAGUAAGUGGACAUGAAAAAGAUCAUGAUUAAUGAGACUAAACCAUUAAAACAGAGCAUGAUUAAAGAGGCCAUGAUUUAUUAAUGGAACCAUGACAUUACAAGUUAA